GCAGGCUGGGAGUUCUAUCGGCCCUCGGAACUGAGCUCUGUGACCCGUGGGGUAACCGUGGCAACAAGAAGCCAAGCCCAGAUGGAACCACUUUGGGCCGCUGUGAACUUAGAAGCCACAGUGGGAGCAGGGAAACCACGGGCGUGGAGACAUCAGUCCACCCAGGGCCCAGCAAACCGAGGAGGCGGCUACAUCUACACUUUGAUUAGACUUAAAAGUGCUGCUCCCUUCUAGAUCCUUCCCCACUACAGUCAUUUUGCCUGAUUUCCCAUCAUUAGAGUGAGGCUUCUAUCAUCCAUAGGCUCCCUGCUAAAAUGCUGGUCCACCCAGAAAGAUAAUGGCUGCCAUUUGCAAUGAGCUUCAGGACAUGAAUUAAUGUCUGCCAGGAGAUGUAGAGGGGUAGGGAGCAUCACAGGACAGGCAACUGUGCCAUCCCUAAGGUGAGCGUGGCGGAGAGAGAGAAGGUGCUGGAGCCGGAGAGACCCAGACUGGACCACUUUCUGCCUGUGUCGCCAUGAGGAAGCGACUUCUCUGACCCUGUCUGCUCAGUGGGGAGAUGGGGGCCAUUCCAUCCAUCUCUUGGGGUCGUGUUUAAUUUGCCUCCAUAAUAGUCCUGCCAAGGCACCCACAGAUUCUUUACAUGUCCUGCCUCAACACACCAGCCCCUUGAGUCCUGUGUAAUUAAUAGCCCCAUCCACGGGCAUCACAUGUCCGAGCCAUGUGGGGAUUAGCCAUGAAGCAGCCAAAAUGGUGCAUCUCGAGGAUCUGCCCACGAGACGAGCUCUGAAGGUUAGAGCCAUAAAUGGCACUUUCGAUGGGCCAAAUGGCACUUUCGACGGGCUGAAUGACACAGCAAUACACGUAACUGUAAACACACAAAAGCAAAGUGUCUUGCCUCUUCCUCAAGGAAAAAAACCCUCCCAAAUGUCCUAGUUUAAAUCUGGGAGAGAGGACAACUCAGCACACUUGCUUUGAAGAAAUGGCCUCAUUAAAGAAUUUCUU